rnacentral:lncRNA from 1 species
AUGCUCCUUCUUCAGCCUUACUUACAGCGGCAACCUUUUCUUCUGCUGAUUGCUUCAAUUCUUCGAGAUUUUUUUUAAUCUGCAAUGUCAGUGCAUCAUUAUUAAAUCCAAGGGACAUAAUAACGAUGGAGCUUAAGAACAGACAAGUAACAGAAAAAUACAGUGAAAUCUCUGAGAGGGAAAAAGGAAAAUUAUAAACAGGCAAGGCUGGGAAGUAUGAAGUUCUGACCUUUACACAAUUUUUUUUCUCAGUCUUUAGAAUGUCCUCUUGAUUUUUUAAGACAGAUGACUCCUUCACCAGAUCACAUGAAAGAGCAUCAACCUUUUCAGUCAAAAGCUUUAUCUCCCCACCCAUGUUUGCAUCUUUCUCAGCUUGCAAUUCUGAUGCUCUCUUUUCCAUUUCCUGUACCUCUUCCUGCAUCUUUCCCACAUUACUAUCAAUUUCAGUAAUCUUAGACUUCAUACCUUCUAAACCCUGUACGGCAUCAGCCAUAACUUUUUCAGCUUGAACAUACUCAUAGGCAAUGCAAAACCGUUUAAGUCUGUCCAAUUCUGCAUUUCCAUUUGCCCAUUGCAUAUACUGCAUCCUCUCUUUCCUCAACUUCUCCAAAGCAGGAAGAAUUUCCUGAUCUAAGAGCUUGUCAAUCUCAUCAACUUUACUUUGUUUCUUUUCAAGAGUUUUGAGGGCAGCUUCUUUCUUUGUCUCGUACAUUCUUGUACCAGCAGCUUCUUCAAGCAUAGACAAGAUUUCAGGAGGUUUCAUGUUCAAGACUUUUGUAAUGCGCCCUUGCAUAAUAAGAAAGUGUGGAUUGUU